GCUUGAUUGUAAGUGCCGACUGAUUGCUUUCUUUCUCCUCGUUCUGCAGGGAAGAACAAGAACAAAGAAAAUGACAAGAAGAAAGCAUGCUAUGAGAUACUCUUACUUUCAACCCUAAUGAUAUGAGAUACGUUUGCUCUGGUGUGACUUGGUUGAAGAUGUAUUUUCAGGGAGGAAGAAAACUGAGUAUGUUGAGAGGUUUGGUCGCAGAUGUAUCCUUGGUAAGGAAAAA
rnacentral:lncRNA from 1 species